rnacentral:rRNA from 1 species
UACGUAGGGGGCAAGCGUUGUCCGGAUUUAUUGGGCGUAAAGAGCUCGUAGGCGGUCUGUUGCGUCCGCUGUGAAAACCCAGGGCUUAACCCUGGGCUGGCAGUGGAUACGGACAGACUAGAGGUAGGUAGGGGAGAAUGGAAUUCCCGGUGUAGCGGUGAAAUGCGCAGAUAUCGGGAGGAACACCGGUGGCGAAGGCGGUUCUCUGGGCCUUACCUGACGCUGAGGAGCGAAAGCGUGGGGAGCGAACAGG